rnacentral:rRNA from 1 species
UACGAAGGGUGCAAGCGUUAAUCGGAAUUACUGGGCGUAAAGCGUGCGCAGGCGGUUCUAUAAGACAGAUGUGAAAUCCCCGGGCUCAACCUGGGAACUGCAUUUGUGACUGUAGAGCUGGAGUACGGUAGAGGGGGAUGGAAUUCCGCAUGUAGCAGUGAAAUGCGUAGAGAUGUGGAGGAAUACCGAUGGCGAAGGCAGCCCCCUGGGAUGAUACUGACGCUCAUGCACGAAAGCGUGGGGAGCAAACAGG